rnacentral:rRNA from 1 species
AAACGAUGAAUACUAGGUGUUAGGAGGUUUCCCCUCUUAGUGCCGAAGCUAACGCAUUAAGUAUUCCGCUGGGGAGUACGACCGCAAGGUUGAAACCCAAAGGAAUUGACGGGGACCCGCACAAGCGGUGGAGCAUGUGGUUUAAUUCGAAGCAACGCGAAGAACCUUACCAGGUCUUGACAUCCUUUGAAGCUUUUAGAGAUAGAAGUGUCUCUUCGGAGACAAAGUGACAGGUGGUGCAUGGUCGUCGUCAGCUCGUGUCGUGAGAUGUUGGGUUAAGUCCCGCAACGAGCGCAACCCUUAUUGUUAGUUGCCAGCAUUCAGUUGGGCACUCUAGCGAGACUGCCGGUGACAAACCGGAGGAAGGCGGGGACGACGUCAGAUCAUCAUGCCCCUUAUGACCUGGGCUACACACGUGCUACAAUGGCGUAUACAACGAGUUGCCAACCUGCGAAGGUGAGCUAAUCUCUUAAAGUACGUCUCAGUUCGGACUGCAGUCUGCAACUCGACUGCACGAAGUCGGAAUCGCUAGUAAUCGCGGAUCAGCACGCCGCGGUGAAUACGUUCCCGGGUCUUGUACACACCGCCCGUCACACCAUGGGAGUUUGUAAUGCCCAAAGCCGGUGGCCUAACCUUCGGGAGGGAGCCGUCUAAGGCAGGACAGAUGACUGGGGUGAAGUCGUAACAAGGUAACCA